CCUACGGGGCGCAGCAGUGAGGAAUAUUGGUCAAUGGUCGGGAGACUGAACCAGCCAAGCCGCGUGAGGGAUGAAGGUACAGAGUAUCGUAAACCUCUUUUGUCAGGGAACAAAGGCGGGGACGUGUCCCCGGAUGAGUGUACCUGAAGAAAAAGCAUCGGCUAACUCCGUGCCAGCAGCCGCGGUAAUAAGGAGGAUGCGAGUGUUAUCGGGAUGUAUUGGGUUGAAAGGGGGCGCAGGCGCUCUGUUAAGUCAGCGGGCAAAGCCCGGGGCUCAACCCCGGCCCGCCGUUGAAACUGGCAGUCUCGAGUUGGAGAGAGGUAUGCGGAAUGCGCGGUGUAGCGGUGAAAUGCAUAGAUAUCGCGCAGAACUCCGAUUGCGAAGGCAGCAUGCCGGCUCCACACUGACGCUGAGGCACGAAAGCGUGGGUAUCGAACAGGAUUAGAUACCCCAGUAGUC
rnacentral:rRNA from 1 species